UACGGGGGGAGCAAGCGUUGUUCGGAUUUACUGGGCGUAAAGGGCGCGUAGGCGGCCACCGCAAGUCGACUGUGAAAUCUCCGAGCUUAACCCGGAAAGGUCAGCCGAUACUGCGGGGCUAGAGUGCAGAAGGGGCAACUGGAAUUCUCGGUGUAGCGGUGAAAUGCGUAGAUAUCGAGAGGAACACCUGCGGCGAAGACGGGUUGCUGGGCCGACACUGACGCUGAAGCGCGAAAGCCAGGGGAGCAAACGGG
rnacentral:rRNA from 1 species